rnacentral:rRNA from 1 species
AUUGAACGCUGGCGGCAUGCCUUACACAUGCAAGUCGAACGGCAGCGCGGGAGCAAUCCUGGCGGCGAGUGGCGAACGGGUGAGUAAUAUAUCGGAACGUGCCCAGUAGUGGGGGAUAGCCCGGCGAAAGCCGGAUUAAUACCGCAUACGACCUGAGGGUGAAAGCGGGGGAUCGCAAGACCUCGCGCUACUGGAGCGGCCGAUAUCAGAUUAGCUAGUUGGUGGGGUAAAGGCCUACCAAGGCAACGAUCUGUAGUUGGUCUGAGAGGACGACCAGCCACACUGGGACUGAGACACGGCCCAGACUCCUACGGGAGGCAGCAGUGGGGAAUUUUGGACAAUGGGCGCAAGCCUGAUCCAGCAAUGCCGCGUGCAGGAAGAAGGCCUUCGGGUUGUAAACUGCUCUUGUCGGGGAAGAAAUCUUCUGGGCUAAUACCCCGGGAGGAUGACGGUACCUGAAGAAUAAGCACCGGCUAACUACGUGCCAGCAGCCGCGGUAAUACGUAGGGUGCGAGCGUUAAUCGGAAUUACUGGGCGUAAAGCGUGCGCAGGCGGCUUUGCAAGACAGAGGUGAAAUCCCCGGGCUCAACCUGGGAACUGCCUUUGUGACUGCAAGGCUAGAGUACGGCAGAGGGGGAUGGAAUUCCGCGUGUAGCAGUGAAAUGCGUAGAUAUGCGGAGGAACACCGAUGGCGAAGGC